AUAAUUAAUAUAUUGUUGCAGUAAAAUAUUUUUACUUUAAUUAACAGGGUCGUUUGCAUCCAAAGUUCGAGUACUUUAAUGUAUUGUCUGUAAUAAGUUUAUGAAACUUGAAAAAUGAAAAUGAAUCCAAAAAGUAACACAAUCGAUUAAUUUUCAAAAAUAGCUCUGUUGGUAUGUGGAAAAUGAUGAAUAUUUCAGAAAAAGUAAUGCUGCUUUAGUAACUUAAAAAGCUUCCAGUUCCCACUGAUUAUUAAGUUUUGAGUGUAGAAACGUAUUUUUAUGUUUUAGAAUUAAUACAUCCUGUGAAGUGGUAACACACUUUGCAUUUUUCUUGGGCUAUAUGUUUAAGAAAUCUAAAAGGUUUUGUAAAUUUUUUUUAAAUUUCUUUUAACUUGAUAAAAGUUCAUAACAUUAAUUACAUUCUACAGUUGGAUUCUACAGUUGGAAAAUUGGUAUCUUUAGAGAUGAUACAUACUUACCUUUUCUUUGAUAAAUGACUUUCCACAAACAUUUUUACUCUAAAUAAAUGGACACAUCUGAGGGUUGUAUUUUCUCCUAAUCCAGGGUUUACUUGCAAAGCAAUUACUAUCUUCUGCACUGCCAUUGCAGUUCACCUAUAUAAAUACUUACAAAAGAAAAAUAGUGACGUCCUGCAUGCAGUUGUGAAGAAUCGAAAAGUAAAAAAGAAGGAAAGAACUGAUUUAUAACUGGAUCAUCAUUGUCAGGAUGGUGGAAUAUCUGAGGAUCAGAGUGUAAAACCAGGAGUUUUUCCUUUAAAGAUUCUACAAGAUCUGUUGGUGUGCCCUACAUUCAGAAAAGGAAUAUCACACAUGAUAUUUACCAAAGUAGCCACGUGUAUCUGUGGUGAUCUGUAUUUUCAAAAUAAAGUGCAUUCUUGUAAA